rnacentral:lncRNA from 1 species
AACCUAUUUUCUAUAAAUAUUAUCUUUACCUUAUCACCCUUCCACUUUCCCCACUCUGGAUUCUGCUGAUUAAUUCCAUGGAACAAGCUCUCACUAAGGCUACCAGUUCCAUCUACCAUUGCAGUGUAGUGGAUGCUUUCCACAUACAUUUUCACGAGUGCAUAGAGUCUUCUAAGCAGUUCAGUCUUUCAGUCAUGGUCUCCUCACUCUUCUCUCUUGUCCUGUUAACAUAUGACCAUCCCUCCUAUUUCCUUUGUGGCAUCCCGUCCCUUUUAAGGUUAAGGUCAUAGGACUCAAAUUUAAGCCUUUUUCUUGUUCUGAACUCUCUUCUCAUUUGAUCCCUUCUUCUGCCCCAUGUUUUACAGCUCAUGAAAUUGCUUCUAAAUUUUCCAGUAGAUGUAUACACUCAAAUGUGUACAAGUUAACGAUAGAUAAUACCUAAUAGUUUUAUUUUUAUAUCAUCACAUGGCUUGGUCCCUUUUUGGUGAUGAAAUUCUGUUUCCUCCCUUCUUCUCAUUAUAGCAUUAAGCAUAAUUGAUAUUCAUGUCUAAUUCUAAUUAGUAUCAUUUAAAAAUAAUUAAUAUUUAAAUAUUUGUAACUUAUUGUUUUUUGGUUUAUUUCCUUGAAAAAAAUCAAAGAUAGAAAAAAGCAGAGUUGGAUUUAUUAUGUUCACUUCUGUGUCUUGAGGAUAACAUACAACCUGACUUAGAGGAAGUCUACUUUAACUUCUAAGGAGAGUCUAUUUAUACUGGGUGGAUGAGUUAUAGCAAACAGUGUUAGGCAGCUUACACAUGUAGUCUUAUUGUUUCUUUGUUAAAGAAAAAGCAAACACAAGAAGUUUUCUAUAGUAAAAAUUUCAUCAACAAAGAAAAAAAAUAAAUACAAAUACAUAUUUUUUCUAUUAACAAUAAUGUAAAAGUACACAUAAUACUUUAAGAACCGAAAUAAUUUAAAUAAUAUAAAUAGGUAAAUAAAUAAGUAUUUAAAUAGAAAAAUAAAUAGGCAGCAAGGGCAUCUAUAAGGAUGAAUCCAUAUAAAUCUUUAGAUAAAUAAAUAAAUAUUUAAAUAGAUAAAUACAUAGAGCAGCAAGGGCAUCUGUAAUGAACCAGUGCCUGUAGAGCAGAACACGAUGGUGCUCAAUACUCCUGAAAACCUUUGACAAAUUAAUUCAGUUCACGGCAGGAUGACAGAAGAAAUAGGGGCCGUGACAUGGCAGCACAGGAGGAAGUAUGGGCUUGUUAGUCUGUGAGAAGCAUUUCCGAGAUGAACCAGGUGUCUGUCACUCCUUCUUCCUGAGUCUGUCUUGCAGGUUUGUGGAGGAAGAGAAGACUCUCAUGACUUCUGCCCUGAUGAUCUCCCAGGCACAGAGGCUGUAGUUCUUCUCCUGCAGAUAGAGGAAAAGCAGUAAAGUCAUGAACAGAGACAUCUUCUCCUGAUGAGCAGCAGCAUUGCCAAGAUGUGUCCUUGAUGGCAAGCAUUCUACUUGCCAAAAUCAUAUAUAUAUACUGACCUCCCCCCACCCCCAGCUCCCUGGAGCAGAUCCUUAUAGUUGUCCUCCAGGCUAUAGUCCUCAGGAAAUCCUCCCAAAUACCUGAACUCCCAGCUCGCAUGAUGUUCAUUGUUUGUUCAGUCCACAAGGGCCUCACUGGUUUCCCAGGAGUCUUCUUCAGGUCAACCUGCUGUUUUCAUUCCCAAAGAGGACAAUUCUGCCUCUCACUCCAGCCCAGACUGGACCUUCUGUUGUCUACUGAGAGCCCAAUGAAGAGUCUCUUCUCUUUAUUGUUCCAACUAAUACUUAAGAUGUGGAUCCUCAUGAGGGUUUUGAAUGAUGAAGGUGGAAGAGCAUGUGCGAUUCCUAGACAGAACCAGUGGAGGAUUUAAGGGUACUUAGGAUUUCCCGCUGUGGUGCAAUUGGAUCAGCCAGGAUACAGGUUUGAUCCCCCGCCCUGCAUCUGCAGCUUAGGUGGAAUGGCAGCUUGGAUCUUAUCCCUAGCCUGGGGAACACCGUAUACCCCAGAGCAGCCCAAAAGGAAAAAAAGAAAAAUAAGGGACUGCUAAGCUGGGAGAGUCUGGCUUGAACUUAACAGCCUGAAAAAAUUCUUAGAAUAGUUUUCCUGAUUCAUUUUUCUCCUCUCAACCUAUUAAAGCAUCACAAAAUAAUACUGUAGGAUUGAAAUAAAAUAUUAUUUAAAACAGCAUUGCGAGAGAGAGGACAAGAUGGCGGAGGAGUAGGAAGACACGCUCGCCCUCUCCCACAAAUACAACAAAAAAA